GGGGCCAUAGCUCAGUUGGGAGAGCGCGACAAUGGCAUUGUCGAGGUGGUCGGUUCGAAGCCGACUGGCUCCA
rnacentral:tRNA from 1 species